UACGUAGGUGGCAAGCGUUGUCCGGAUUUACUGGGCGUAAAGAGCGCGCAGGCGGCCGAGUAAGUCGAAUGUGAAAGCCCCCGGCUCAACUGGGGAAGGUCAUUCGAUACUGUUCGGCUUGAAGAUAGGAGAGGGAAGCGGAAUUUCAGGUGUAGUGGUGAAAUGCGUAGAUAUCUGAAGGAACACCAGUGGCGAAGGCGGCUUUCUGGCCUAUUCUUGACGCUGAGGCGCGAAAGCUAGGGGAGCGAACGGG
rnacentral:rRNA from 1 species